UUCUCCUUGCUUUUCCUUCAGUGUGGCGUUGAAAACAUCAGAAGAGCAGAGUCACUUAAUGGAAACCCACUGUUCUCCAAGGCUCUGGCAGACUUGGUCUGCUCACACAUCCAGUCCAAUGAAAUCUGCUCCAAGCAGCUGACGCUCUGCUGCCCGCUCUGCGUGAAUCCUGUCUGCAGGGAGACCAAAGCCUUCUUCACCAGCCAGCAGCUGUGAUGGGCAGGCUGUCUUGUGCAGGAACUGUCCUGGUGAAGCGGUGCUUGACCAAGCUCUCCUGUGCUACAUCCUUAGUCUGGUAGUCCCAGCAGUGGUAACCUCAUAGAGCAGUGAGGAGGAUUUUGGUUUUUUUCUUAUGUUUCCUUAGUUUAAGAAGUGUUUGUAACAAGUAGGUUUAUCCUGUGAGAUGUGGGAAGGUCUCAUCUCAUCUGAUUCUGAUUGGAGUUAGCAUGAGUAUGCACUGAAAAACUUCAAGAAUAUGAAAAACGGGGCUUCUAUACAGAUUGGCUUCUAUUUCCUAUGCAGGGAUUUAUUUGUAUGCAAUUUUGUCGUGAGUGCAUUAAUUUCAGUUUUCCAGAUCAAGCAUACAAUUAUUUUUGUUUUUACGUAAGGCAUAGCAUAACUAGCGUAGCCACCAGUUGUUUCUUCUGACUUCGGAUGGGUUUGAAGAUCAAGUGACCUCUAAUGCUUUUUAAAUGUCAUUUUUUUAGAGCCUGAAGAUAAGCUUUUGUUUUGUUUUCUCUUGCUAGAAAUUUCCUGUGGGAUAGUAGAACUCAUAAGGUUUGUUUACAUUUUCUAGAGAAGAAAACCACUCAUCACCUGCAGGAAAACCCCUGCAUUUGCAAAACAUACAGAAAUAAUUCUGGUUGCUGAUGCUGCAGCAUGUGUACAGCGUGUGUUUCAAAUCCAGCACACGUUGAAACAUUUUGGAUCAUCUUCUAAGCAAAAUGGCUUUUUUAUCAUUAUUAAAAAGGGCUUUCUCUGGUUAAGUAAGUGUAGGAAGUUGGGCUUGUUCUCCAGCAGGUUUAUAGAUUGACUGUGCUUUCUGCUGUGUCACAGCCCUGUGGUUUUUGUGGGAUGCUAUGGAGUUACAUAGGUACAAUUGAUCUAGCUUAAUUGAUGAUGCUAUUUAAAAAUGAGAUGAUAAAUCAAGAGUCAUUUACAUUGCAGAUGUCCAAGCACACAGUGAGAGGAGAGCAGGCUGCCCCUCACACUGAUGGCUGUGUUGUUAGCAUACCUCUGUCAGAAGCUAAAUUCCAUCUGUUCAAUUUCUAGCAGCAGUGGUGAGCCUACAGCUGCUCUCUUAGCUCACCUGUGCUUAUUGCAUGUUGGGCAAGUAUCUGUUUGCACCAGGGCUCCUGCAUCCACUGCUAAGCAGCAGCAGUUCUGUGGAGUGAGAAAGCUCUUAGGGCUUAAUCAGCACUGACAUGCCAGUCCUGCAGCAAUGCAGGGUGUUCUGUAAAGUGAUGAUAGCUCAUCAUGAAGUUUGGGAAUCUGACAGCUUGCUGCUCGGACAGUAAUUUUUGCUUAUGUAACCGAGGCAGGAGCAGUUUGAAUCCCUGAUCUUUCAAGGAUGGCAUUGUUUAAAAAACUGAUAGGCCUCUGUUGGUAUAACAGGGACUUAUCUUGUUCUGUUUUAUGCUACAAGAGUUAACUAGGGGAUAUUAAAAAAGUAAAAGGCUGCUGUGUUGGCCAGCCAGCAGCCUGGGCAUUGCCAUGGAGCAGCACAAAUCUUGCCACGUGGGCAUCCAUGGCCCCGUAUGCCUCAAGGGUUGACUGAAACCUCUCCACUGCCAGCCUGUAGCUCCCAGUGUGGCUCUGGUGAGACAGGCUGAGUUCUCAGCACCAGGGCCUCCUGUGUUGCUGCUGUAGCACAGAAAUCUUCCUCCGUCUGUGGUAUGUGUGCCUCCUCUUGGGGCAGGAGAAGCAGGGACAGGCCUGCAGGUGCCCAAAUGGCAGCACGCUCUCUGCCCAGGGCUGUGGCUUCCAGAACCUCUCUGUGCUUUCAGUGCUCUCUGAUUAGCAGAAGUUGUUUUCAAACAGCAGGAGAAUCUGUAGGACAGUUUUUCCCUGUCAGUGGACAUGAGUAGAGAGCAGACUCUUGGGUGUUGAGUAGGACCAGUGGCAUGGCAGCAGGGUGCAGUCAUCCAAAGCUGUCUCCCUCCAGGAGCCUUGGUUGCCUUCACGCUUUUCAGCUCUCGCUGAGCCUGUCUUGGCACAGCGGGCAUCCGAAUGCCUGCGUUGCUGCAGGGAGGUUGGCUCCCUCCUGCCUUCUGCUCAGCCCCUGGGCUCUGCUCGCUGUCCCAGCAGGAGGAGGGAGCAGGAAGCUGAUCCCUGCCCAGGUGCAGUUGGCAGGGUCACCGCAUGGUGUAGGGCUGAGACUUCCAUAGAAAGACUUCGAAUCGAUGCCAUAAGAACGAUGAUGUCAGCAGUGAGUGUGGGCAGUGAGCUGUUGCCUUAUGUCUCUCAUUGGUUGAGGACUCCUCUCGAUCCCCACUUCUCUGUGUGAUGCUUGUGGGUGGGUGGCAGAAGGCUUUGUCAAGCCUUACUGCUCAUGCCCUUUUCCUACCAGCUAAUGGUCGUGGCCACCUCUGAAUCUGGGAACUGAAGGUUAACUUUACAUGAUCGUUGCAGUGCAAUAAAUACAGAUUGGCUUUUUAUUUCCAUACUGGAGAGAGUACUGAAAAUACUAGCUGGCACUAAUUAUGAAGCAUUACAUAAAAGGUAUUUAAAAUGCACUUUUUAGUGAGCUAACCGCAAGCGAGAUAAUUACUAAGCAUCUUUAGCCAUUGUUGCUAUCAGACCAUAAUGCAGAAAUAGCUUAAUUUUCCAGCUUUUAGCAAAUGGAUCACGUCACACAGCCACUGGGUUAUUUCAUUUUCCUGAAUAGUUCAUUGUGAUAUCACCCUGUCCUGUUAUUUAGCACACGUUAUUUCAUCUUAGAGCAACACCAAAAGCCUGUCAAAAAGCUUUCUGAGCAAGCUCUGCUCUUAUUUUUAAUAGGAAUAGUUUUUUCCCCUUGCACUUAGAAAUAAAUCUGAAAAAUGAAACCUGAGAGACUGACAACAGUGGGAAUUUAUCAGCCAUUGAGAUCUCCCGAUUCUGGGCUUUGUCUGGGGGCAUUUAACACUGUGUUUUUCAGCAGUGCGGUGCACUUGACCUUCCUUUGGAUGCUUCCAAGCCGGCUGUCCACAUCCGAGCCGCUGCCCUAGGUCCUGUCUGUGGUGAGGGGAUAUGUUUUGGGGCAUUUUCCCCUCCAUUCUUGUGCCUUCCUGCCAUCCACCCUCCGCGGUGCUUCGUAGCUGCUGCAUUUGGGAGGCUGUACUCUAAGCACUGCUGCUGCGCGUUCCGUUUUCCUCUCUGACAGAUUUUCAGCAUUUGGUGCUAUUAACUCAGGACCCGGUCUUGUCAGAUCCUGAGCACUUUGCUCUGAUUGAAUUGAUCCAAGUGCAUGGAAUUGUCAGCACUGGGAGGCCGCCGUCCUCUAGCCAUAAUCUAGCUUGACUUUUCUUUAUCAAUUAUAUUCCUCAGCAGAACUUUGUCUGAGAGUGUUUGUCAUUUCCAUUUGCCUUGGCAGUGCGCAGCAAGGUGGGAGUGUGGGUGACAUUUUUCUCCCUUGGAGUUCUAUGAAAUCUGGCUGCAUUUUAGCAGACAGGACAGCUUCCAGGAGCAGUGCUGUAACACUGAACAGCGCAGGGAUAAAUUCAGUGAGCUAGGGUCAGAGGGGUUUUCUUUGGAAAUAAGCUCCAUCUUGUGUUCCUCUUUUGUCACACCGGGAGAGAUGGAAAUCAACACGAAGUGUAAGGUGUAAAGGAGGGAGGUGUUUCUUUGACUGUUUCAUGCCAGAUGUGCACAAAUACUUGUGUUUAGUCUACCGUGUUUAUUUCAUAUUCAAGGACUUCCAUGUAAUGUAAGGAUUUGUAUAACCUUGCUGUGUGUCAUGUACCGUAACAAUGGAAUUUCAAUUAAAGACUUUUGGAGGAAAUGGCU